ensembl:lncRNA
AGUGAAGCAAGUCAUCCACUCCAGGGCAUGAACAUGGAUUUUCUUUCUUUAAAAUAUUCAAAUGGAAAAAAAGGACUUGAAAUCCUAAGAUUCCUGUUCACCGAGGAGAUGUUUCCUACUCAGACUGCUGAUGCACAGCUAUUCACAUCUGGAGAAAAAGGAUGACAAGAAUUGCAUUCACUCUUCAUGUGACAACUCACAGCUGAAAGAAUCUCAAGUAUUUUUUGGGAAUCUACAUAUCAAGAAUAAUAAAAAUUGCAAGAAAACUCAUGAGGGAGCGCAGAAGGAAGAAGGAAUAUAUGAACAAGUCUCCACACAGCAAAUAUCACCUCCAGUCAUAUUCAUACAAGAUAACGAGAUGACCCCUCUGCCACUUUCCUUCAAAGUUGAAACAGAGAUCACUGUGCAAGCUGUCUUCACUAGGACUGAGCCACACCCUGCACCAUUCUGUGCAGCAAAUGCUCCAUUUCCAG